AUUGAACGCUGGCGGCAGGCCUAACACAUGCAAGUCGAACGGUAACAGGAAGCAGCUUGCUGCUUUGCUGACGAGUGGCGGACGGGUGAGUAAUGUCUGGGAAACUGCCCGAUGGAGGGGGAUAACUACUGGAAACGGUAGCUAAUACCGCAUAACGUCGCAAGACCAAAGAGGGGGACCUUAGGGCCUCUUGCCAUCGGAUGUGCCCAGAUGGGAUUAGCUAGUAGGUGGGGUAACGGCUCACCUAGGCGACGAUCCCUAGCUGGUCUGAGAGGAUGACCCGCCACACGGGAACGAGGGCCCGGUCAAGACUCAUACGGGAGGCGGAAGUGGGGAAUAUUGCACAAUGGGCGGAAGCGUGAUGCAGCCAUGCCGAGUGUAUGAAGAAGGCCUUCGGGUUGUAAAGUACUUUCGGCGGGGAGGAAGGGAGUAAAGUUAAUACCUUUGCUCAUUGACGUUACCAGCAGAAGAAGCACCGGCUAACUCC
rnacentral:rRNA from 1 species